rnacentral:rRNA from 1 species
CCAUGCGAGUCAACGUAUGGAAUAAUACGUGGGCGAACGGCUCAGUAACACGCUAGNNCAACAUGCCCAAAGGACGUGGAUAACCUCGGGAAACUGAGGAUAAACCGCGAUAGGUCAUAAGUACUGGAAUGUUUUAUGGCUCAAAUCUACAUGGCCUCUGGAUUGGACUGCGGCCGAUCAGGCUGUUGGUGAGGUAAUGGCCCACCAAACCUGUUACCGGUACGGGCUCUGAGAGGAGGAGCCCGGAGAUGGGCACUGAGACAAGGGCCCAGGCCCUAUGGGGCGCAGCAGGCGCGAAACCUCUGCAAUAGGCGAAAGCUUGACAGGGUUACUCUGAGUGAUUCCCGCUAAGGGAAUCUUUUGGCAUCUCUAAAAACGAUGCAGAAUAANGNGUGGGCAAGUCUGGUGUCAGCCGCCGCGGUAAUACCAGCACCCCGAGUGGUCGGGACGAUUAUUGGGCCUAAAGCAUCCGUAGCCGGUCUUGCAAGUCUUCCGUUAAAUCCACCUGCUUAACAGAUGGGCUGCGGAAGAUACUACAAGACUAGGAGGCGGGAGAGGCAAGCGGUACUCANUGGGUAGGGGUAAAAUCCUCUGAUCCAUUGAAGACCACCAGUGGCGAAGGCGGCUUGCCAGAACGCNCCUCNNCGGUGAGGGAUGAAAGCUGGGGGAGCAAACCGGAUUAGAUACCCGGGUUANUNCCA